ensembl:lncRNA
AGCUGCAUGAGAUGAUAACCACCAGCUGGACAAGCCUUGUGAGGAGAUGUUAACCACCAGGGGAGCAGAUGUUGAGAUGUUAACCACCAGGGGAGGAGAUGUUGAGAUGUUAACCACCAGGGGAGGAGAUGUUGAGAUGUUAACCACCAGGGGAGGAGAUGCUUCCCUAUGGGGACGUCAUCUUCUCUCUGGUCCUCAGCUUUGCUCCACAGAGGUGCCAGAGCUCCAGUUUAUUAUGGGAUGGCACCUAGAGUGGCCGAGUGGAGUUUAGGAUGAAGAGGCGCGGCAGUGUUGCCAGAUCCUAUCGCAGUGUUAGUUAUUAAAAGGUCAGUGUGAGGGCG